rnacentral:rRNA from 1 species
CACGUAGGGUGCGAGCGUUGUCCGGAAUUAUUGGGCGUAAAGAGCUCGUAGGCGGUGUGUCGCGUCGGCCGUGAAAACCUGCAGCUUAACUGUGGGCUUGCGGUCGAUACGGGCAUCACUGGAGUUCGGCAGGGGAGACUGGAAUUCCUGGUGUAGCGGUGGAAUGCGUAGAUAUCAGGAGGAACACCGAUGGCGAAGGCAGGUCUCUGGGCUGACACUGACGCUCAUGCACGAAAGCGUGGGGAGCAAACAGG